AAUCAACGCUGGCGGCGUGCCUCAGACAUGCAAGUCGAACGAUUAAAGCUCUCUUCGGAGAGUGCAUAGAGUGGCGCACGGGUGAGUAACACGUAAGUAAUCUACCCUCGAGUGGGGAAUAACAGUCGGAAACGACUGCUAAUACCGCAUAAUGCAGCGGCACCGCAAGGUGACAGUUGUUAAUGGAGCAAUCCGCUUGAGGAGGAGCUUGCGGCAGAUUAGCUAGUUGGUAGGGUAAUGGCUUACCAAGGCUACGAUCUGUAUCCGGUCUAAGAGGACGGUCGGACACACUGACACUGAAUAACGGGUCAGACUCCUACGGGAGGCAGCAGUCGGGAAUUUUGGGCAAUGGGCGAAAGCCUGACCCAGCAACGCCGCGUGAAGGAUGAAGUAUUUCGGUAUGUAAACUUCGAAAGAAUAGGAAGAAUAAAUGACGGUACUAUUUAUAAGCUCCGGCUAACUACGUGCCAGCCGCCGCGGUAAUAC
rnacentral:rRNA from 1 species